CCCCCCCUCUCACAUCUCUAUCUUCCUCUCUCAUCUCUAUCUUCCUCCGCACAUGAAAAACAUAUCCGUCUCUCUCUCAAACUGAAGCAUAGAACUUGGGGGCAUGUAUCCCGAGUGCCAACAGGCAAUGAAGUUGGGGGCGUGAAUACGGCGCACUUACGGAUUACAAUUAAAUUGACCAUAUUUUUUCCGUUUUGUUCUCCAUAUAUUUCAGUUAUUAGUGUGUUGAUUUAGUAGGUAUAUGCCUAUUAUAUUCCAAUUUUUCUCCAGUAUACAGGAUUGCUGCACCAUGUAACUGACAGGUGAGGCUACUUUGGCCCGUCACCUCGGUUGUCAGCCUCAAUCCAUACACGUUUGACAUUAGAAAUCUUCAGAUA